AACGAACGCUGGCGGUAUGCUUUACACAUGCAAGUCGAACGGGCAAGAGCCGUAGCAAUACGGAGUUCUGCUAGUGGCAAACGGGUGAGUAACGCGUGGGAAACUACCUUAUAGUACGGAAUAGCCCCGGGAAACUGGGAUUAAUACCGUAUACGCUCUUCGGAGGAAAGAUUUAUCGCUAUAAGAUGUGCCCGCGUUAGAUAAGCUUGUUGGUGAGGUAAUGGCUCACCAAGGCGACGAUCUAUAGCUGGUUUGAGAGGAUGAUCAGCCACACUGGAACUGAGACACGGUCCAGACUUCUACGGGAGGCAGCAGUGGGGAAUAUUGGACAAUGGGCGAAAGCCUGAUCCAGCAAUACCGCGUGAGUGAUGAAGGCCUUAGGGUUGUAAAACUCUUUCCGUGGGGAAGAUAAUGACGGUACCCACAGAAGAAGCACCGGCUAACUCCGUGCCAGCAGCCGCAGUAA
rnacentral:rRNA from 1 species